rnacentral:rRNA from 1 species
ACAACAAGUAUCCGCCUGGGCACUACGAGCGCCACGUUAAAACCCAAAGGACUUGGCGGUGCUUCAGACCCCCCUAGAGGAGCCUGUUCUAGAACCGAUAACCCCCGUUCAACCUCACUACUCCUUGCUUUUCCGCCUAUAUACCGCCGUCGCCAGCUUACCCUGUGAAGGAGUCACAGUAAGCAGGAUGGGCAAUGCAGAACGUCAGGUCGAGGUGUAGCGUACGAAGUAGGAAGAAAUGGGCUACAUUAUCUGAAGCAGAUUAAAUAACGAAGAGUCACCUGAAACCGGUGACUUGAAGGUGGAUUUAGCAGUAAGGGGAGAA